GAUGAACGCUGGCGGUAUGCUUAACACAUGCAAGUCGAACGGACUCUUCGGAGUUAGUGGCGGACGGGUGAGUAACGCGUGAGAAUCUGGCUUUGGGUUCGGGACAACCACUGGAAACGGUGGCUAAUACCGGAUGUGCCGAGAGGUAAAAGAGAAAUUGCCUGAAGAUGAGCUCGCGUCUGAUUAGCUAGUUGGUGAGGUAAAGGCUCACCAAGGCAGCGAUCAGUAGCUGGUCUGAGAGGAUGACCAGCCACACCGGGACUGAGACACGGCCCAGACUCCUACGGGAGGCAGCAGUGGGGAAUUUUCCGCAAUGGGCGAAAGCCUGACGGAGCAAUACCGCGUGAGGGAAGUAGGCUCUUGGGUUGUAAACCUCUUUUCUUAGGGAAGAACAAAAUGACGGUACCUAAGGAAUCAGCAUCGGCUAACUCCGUG
rnacentral:rRNA from 1 species